GUUUUAAUAGUUUAAUAUAAAACAAUGAUCUUGUAAAUCAUAAAUAAGUCUAAGACUUUUAAAACU
rnacentral:tRNA from 1 species